rnacentral:lncRNA from 1 species
AAUUCACUCGAAAGGUAAGUUUCCACGAAACCCCCUUUUAUCUUCUACUAAAACAAGAAAAUUCAAAAAAAAGAGGUCGCUUAGUAUUCUCGAACUUUGUCCCCAGCCAGCCAGCAUUAGGGUUUUAAACCCUAAACUGAGCUUUUACAUGCAAUCAACAUUAGGGUUUUAAACCCUAAACUGAAUUUUUCCUUUAGUCAGCAUUAGGGUUUUAAACCCUAAACUGAACUUUUUUCCAUUCAGCCAGCAUUAGGGUUUUAAACCCUAAACUGAGCUUUUCCAUGCAAUCAGCAUUAGGGUUUUAAACCCUAAACUGAAUUUUUCCUUUAGUCAGCAUUAGGGUUUUAAGCCCUAAACUGAACUUUUUUCCAUUCAGCCAGCAUUAGGGUUUUAAACCCUAAACUGAGCUUUUCCAUGCAAUCAACAUUAGGGUUUUAAACCCUAAACUGAACUUUUUCCUUUAGUCAGCAUUAGGGUUUUAAACCCUAAACUGAAUUUUUCAUUCAGCCAGCAUUAGGGUUUUAAACCCUAAACUGAGCUUUUCCAUGCAAUCAGCAUUAGGGUUUUAAACCCUAAACUGAACUUUUUCCAUUUAGCCAGCAUUAGGAUUUAAACCCUAAACUGAGCUUUUCCUUUCAGCCAGCAUUAGGGUUUUAAACCCUAAACUGAGCUUUUCCAUUCAGCCAGCAUUAGGGUUUUAAACCCUAAACUGAGCUUUUCCUUUCAGCCAGCAUUAGGGUUUUA